UUCAAGCUCCGGGUUCUUUCCAUUGGAGACCCGAUGAAAAUUCCGACGACAUGAGCGCAACGGCAGUAGAGAGGGCUACUCACGGUUACGUCCAAAAUGUCACGGAAGUGCUCGGCAAAAAUGGGUCUCAACGGAGGUGAUUUCCGAUUUGGCAAGGACGGUGGGCAGACAGCUCGUGGAUGGGUAGUGCGGCUCUUUAGCGAUGGAUGGCGGCUUGCAGACAGUGAUGGCUCACAGCCAUGGUGCAAGAUGGUGGCUAGUUUGGGACAAAACAGCAGCACACGGUGCUGUUUUGGAACAGAAAAGAACUAAAGAGAAAAAGAGAAGAAGAAGAGGGACGUGGGAGUGGGGG
rnacentral:lncRNA from 1 species